rnacentral:rRNA from 1 species
GACGAACUGUCCUAACGUUGUUCGGAAUCACUGGGCUUAAAGGGCGCGUAGGCGGUCCGACAAGUCAGGGGUGAAAUCCUGCAGCUUAACUGCAGAAGUGCCUUUGAUACUGUCGGUCUUGAGGGAGAUAGGGGUGUGCGGAACUCACAGUGGAGCGGUGAAAUGCGUUGAUAUUGUGAGGAACGCCGGAGGCGAAAGCGGCGCACUGGAUCUCUUCUGACGCUGAGGCGCGAAAGCUAGGGGAGCAAACGGG